CAGACCAGUAUCAGACCGGUAUCAGAUCGGUAUCGCCGAUACUGGCUUGUAUUUUACUUGGUAUCGGAUCAGAAAGAAAGCGAGUGGCAUCGUACAUCACUACUCCAGUACUCCUGCUGGCAGCACGCGGUGUGACGGAAACCUACGAGCCUGCGUGCUCUAGUCUGGAGCUGCUCUUAAAGGGCCAGCGUCACUAAAAUACCCCACACAGUUAUCACAAUACCAGCUUUACAAGCAGAACGAAUGUGAACAGUUUACCAAACCAAGACUUGGUGGUUCACAUGUUGCAGCUGCAGAGCCGAAUGUCGCCAUGGCCAGGAAAGUGUCUCAGAAACAAGUCAUGGAAGGUGGAGAUUACUGGUUCUCCGGUCAGCACUGCAUCUCAGCUCUAGACCCCCAAACUCCCUUGGUGUUCCUCUGUUUGAUCGGGAGAGGAUGGAGCACAUCUGGCGGGUCCAGAAGAAGCAUGUGAAGAGCAUCCAAGAUCCACCAGGUGUUGCUCUCUGCACUAAAACUGGGAGCUGACCAAGGGAGGUGUGUGUCUGCCGGUGUUUAGGUGAACCAGAGGCUCAACUUCCUUGGAGUCUUUUCAUCUGCAGCUAAACCGCUUCAUAGCAGGUUCUAUUGUCUGAGACAUUCACUCAGUGCUUCGUCCCUUGGGUCCAUCUUCCUGAUGUGUUCAUGGAGCUUGUUUCGUCUUGGAUAGUGGCCCUGAUGCUCACUAGUCCUCAUCCUCCCUCUUUGUGCUUAGCGUAGAGUCUCUGGACACUGGAUGUGGGUGGAAGCCUCCACGCAUGGUGAACAACUUCCGUGUUUUAACAUCUGUGGUCUGAACUUCCUCCUUUGGCAGCUUAUUAUCCCAGCAGGGUGUCUUGUUGUUGCCAUCGAGCUGACUUCUAAGCACGUUGCAGGUAUUACAACAUGUACUAUAUAAAUAUAUAUAUUCAUUCGUUAUCUGUAGCACUUUGUCCAUUACGGGGAAGCUGGAGCCUGACCCAGCAUUUAACAGGUGAGAGGCAGGUACACCCUGGACAGGUCACCAGUCCAUCACAGGCCCAACACAGAAAGAGACAAACAACCUUUCACACACACACUGAUUCCUAGCGAGAAUUUAGAGACCAAUUAACCUAACAUGCAUGUCUUUGGACGGUGGGAGGAAGCCAGAGUACCAGAAGAGAACCCACGUGUACACGGGAGAACAUGCAAACUCCACACAGAAAGGCCACGUCCCUUCAGGUUCAAACCUAUAUGUUUGAGUCCUUGUUUUUAUUUAGUCUAGUGUUUAAUGUUUCCUUUACUUUGUGUUUGAGCUGCUGUAACAGUGAAAUUUCCCCACCGUGGGAUCAAUAAAGGAUCUUAUCUUAUAAAUAUAGUUGUGUUGGUGGUUUUUAAGCUAAGGCUGCACCACGUUGCUAAAAUGAGCACACUUAGCUUACAGAGAAACAACAUGCGCCAGAAGCUCAACAAAAACGUCCUUUUCAAAAGGUUAUUAGCUAAACCGUGUUUUUAUUGUUUAUUUUGUUUUACAAGAGCUUGUACUUUGAUUACUGAGGUGUAGUUUGUGUUUGUGUUAAAUUCUCUCUCAUGCUGCUACGCCCUGUGUAUUUGUGUAUUUAAAUUUUAAGUUGGUAAUUUAAUUGUUCAUCAGUGUAACUUGGAGGUUACACUCACAC